GUUUCCUCAAGCGCCUUUUUUGCACUCUUUGGGUAAAUGAAUAAAAUUUGGGUGAUGAGCAAAGCACAUAAAUAUUGGGUGUCCUAGAAAAAGGUCAGAUGCUCCCGUUUUGUAUUUGCCUGUCACCUGGCUUGGCAUAUUUAAGAAAGAUCCAGAACUCUGGGUGGUCCCCAGGUUUCUCUCUUCUGCCUUCCCUUGGAGGCCAUCAGUGGAUCUCUGUGCCAACCAGGUGCAGAGGAGCCGGCAUCACUUUCAUUACACCUACAUGCUCCAGUAUCAAUCACGCCACCAUGGCGGCCUGUCUGGGAGCAGUUCAUUUCAAGCAGAUCCUGCGCCUAUCUGACUACAGCCACCAGAGUCAGGACUGACACAGCCUCCAAGACAACCAGCAGCCUCCUCUGAAGGGCAGGGCACAGCACAGCCCAGGAGCCUCUGCUGUGAGUGGAGCACUCAAGGCCCAGGGCGGUCCUAGAAAUCAUUAACCACAGGAGCCGAUCUUCUAGCAGAAGGGAGGGGAGUGCAAGACCCUGCUGCUGGGCCAGUCAGGGAUGUUAAAACAAGCGUUUCAAAGAGACACUUCCAUUCACUCUAAACCCACAAGAGAGAUGGAGUGACAGAGCCAUUUAUUUGCAGAAGAGCUGGGUAGGGAUGGAAAGGAGAGGCAGAGAGAAAAAGGAAGAGAGAAAAAAGGAGAGAUGGGAGAGGGAGAGGUAAAGGGGAGAGAGAAAAGGUUCAGAAAGCAUGUAGGGAGAGAAAGAGAUAGAGAAGGAUAUGGGGCUUUACGCAAGCACAUUGUAGUUCAUCAGCACCGUACCUUGGCUCAGAGUCUGGAGGAAGAUUCAGCUGAGCCGUGUAUAUAUGCGGUACUUCUCAGAGACUAGAAUAGAAUACAAUAGCCAUGCUGAUGCUGAUGAUACUCAUGAUACCGGUGCUGGUGAUGCUGUUGAGCAUUCUCUGUGUCCUGCCUUUGGUUUAUGUUCUUUACAAACACAGCCUCAAAGAGACACUGAUGUAUAGAACAGUCUUAUGGACUCUGUGGGAGAGGGAGAGGGUGGGAAGAUUUGGGAGAAUGACAUUGAAACAUGUAAAGUAUCAUGUAAGAAACGAAUUGCCAGUCCAGGUUCGAUGCACGAUACUGGAUGCUUGGGGCUAGUGCACUGGGACGACCCAGAGGGAUGGUAUGGGGAGGGAGGAGGGAGGAGGGAGGAGGGUUCAGGAUGGGGAACACAUGUAUACCUGUGGCGGAUUCAUUUCGAUAUUUGGCAAAACUAAUACAAUUAUGUAAAGUUUAAAAAUAAAAUAAAAUUAAAAAAAAAAACA
rnacentral:lncRNA from 1 species